rnacentral:rRNA from 1 species
GAUGAACGCUGGCGGCGUGCCUAAUACAUGCAAGUCGAGCGAACGGACGAGAAGCUUGCUUCUCUGAUGUUAGCGGCGGACGGGUGAGUAACGCGUGGAUAACCUACCUAUAAGACUGGGAUAACUUCGGGAAACCGGAGCUAAUACCGGAUAAUAUUAUGAACCGCAUGGUUCAAAAGUGAAAGACGGUCUUGCUGGCACUUAUAGAUGGAUCCGCGCUGCAUUAGCUAGUUGGUAAGGUAACGGCUUACCAAGGCAACGAUGCAUAGCCGACCUGAGAGGGUGAUCGGCCACACUGGAACUGAGACACGGUCCAGACUCCUACGGGAGGCAGCAGUAGGGAAUCUUCCGCAAUGGGCGAAAGCCUGACGGAGCAACGCCGCGUGAGUGAUGAAGGUCUUCGGAUCGUAAAACUCUGUUAUUAGGGAAGAACAUAUGUGUAAGUAACUGUGCACAUCUUGACGGUACCUAAUCAGAAAGCCACGGCUAACUACGUG